AAAGUAUUGAGGUCAAAUCUUUAUCAGAACCAAACAAAUAAAAAAUAAAGAAAGUGAAAUAUGAUAGUCUAGGACAUGAAACAAUUUAAUGCAAGGAAUUGAAGGCGUAGGAAGAUAUUGCUUCGAACCAAAUGCUAAGCAAGUUGUCAAACUGUGAGAUCCUCCCUCAUUGGAAGAUACAGCAUCAGCUAUUUUAUAUUCUUCUGAAUUUCCUACAAGGCGUUAAUGAAGUAGCAAAAACAAAGAGCAUUUUUAUUAAUUAUGACAUCCAAGAGAAGGCAUGAUCGUUGUUACCUCAUCUCUCUGAAGAAACUCAACAUUUAAAGGACUUUUAUCUGUGGCUGAGUAUGGAUUAGCAUAGGCAAAAUAACUAAAGGCAAAUCCUGAGACAAUAAGAGGAUGUAGCAAACAAGUGCCCCAACAGCUAAGUUGCUUCAUGAAGGAUGAUAUUUACAUAAGAACAGAUUGAACUUGAUCGCCUCUUGAAAAUUCUUAUAUGCAAAUUAUUAUAAACAAAAGAGCAUUUGAAAAAUGCUGAGUUUCACAAGAAGAUAGGGAAUAUAUCCAUUUCAAAAUAAAAAGGAUUACUGAAGUUCGUAAUGUCAUCGAUUUCGUACUUAAAUGAAUCCAAGAAUAGACCAAGAGAAAGCCCAGCCUUCCAGUAGUUAAACAUGGUUAUAAGGCUCCUAAUAUUGUUGAACAAAGGAAAAGAAGCCCUAUACAUAAGGGCUCCAAUCCCUUCCACUACUGCCACAGCAAAAGCGGCCGAUAGAAUAUCCCAAUCACCCGUCUGACCAAUAACAGUGGCAAAGGCAGUUGCACAAUAAAAUCCCACCAAGAAAAAGAGUAAUUUUAUUGGGAGAUUUUUCCUUAUCUUCUUGAUUCUCGCAACUAUCCUGGCCUGCAAAGUUUGGAUGGCCCUAACCAAUCUUGUUCCACCACUAGUGCUACUUGAAGGAGAAGGAUCCAAUCCACUAUCUACACUACUCCUAACCUGCCAGGCUAUCUUCCUGCGCAAUUCAAACAAAAACUCUAAAUAAUAUUAAGCAAUAUAUGUUAACAAAAAAGCCUCCAUUAAUCUUCUAUAUUCUUAGUUCAUUCCAUUAAAGAAAUAACAGAGAACUCAGACUACUAUUUCCUUUGCUGAAAAAAAAAAGAUGAAAUAAAAAAAAUUUUACAUCCACUUCAUUAAGCAUACUCUAAAGUUUACAGGAAACAAUGAGUUUAUAACAUGUACAUUUGAAUUGAGGGUACUUCUAUUGAUCAUCGACCAAAUGGCCCCCGAGCAUGUAUGAAUGCACAUGAACUCACAUGUGGCAUGCAAUUAAGGGUAUAUUAGGAAGUUGAGAACAGACUGAUAGGUUAAAGGAAAAAGAAACAUGACAGAUUUACUACAGGAACAAAGCAACCAAGUCCAAAAUUUACGUUCCACAAUUUUUAAUUUAUCUUCUGCUGCAAUAUGUCCAACCCCAUUCAUCAUAGCAUACCAUAGAUAAGGGUCUAGUUACAUGUUACUAAUAUCCUAGCAGAACAAACAACCAAAAGCAUCAACAUUAUAGAGAAUCGGCAGGGUAACUUACCUGAAAUUUUUGUCCCAAUAUGGUUCAGCAAAAUAGAGAUAAGAACAUUGAGAAUAGAGUUUCUGGCCAAAGGGAUGAGCAGCCUUGUUAAAGCAUGCUGUGCAUCUUACAGCUAAAACUCUAGAUCCGUGACACUCUUUAUAUAGAAGCUUCGCAUUUCUUGGAUGGUUAGGAAAUGUCAUUAUAGUUGCCAUUGGCUGCAGAUAUAGAAAGUUGAAACCUGCAAAGUUAGAAUAAAGAUUUUAUGCAACAACAACUAUUAUAAUAAAAGGAAUAUAUAUUCUGUGUUGUUUCUGAAACACUACUUUGGCUCUCUCUCUUUACUAAAAUAUAUGCAGUAGAAAAUUUAGGAUUAAUAUUUUUGUCAUACAGCAUACUUAAAGUACAGUUUGGAUUGCUUUCUUAGAGUGGCUUGAAGUUUGUAUAUUAUCAUGAUGAAGCAGAAUCAUUGGGAAGAAGCAAAAAUAUCUAAAAAUGAAAAUGAUUUUCUUCUUUUUACACAAAGUAAAGAAAGAUUUAAAAUACACACACAAUAACCUAUUGCUGAAAACCAAAUUUGAUAAUGUAAAGUUUAAUUUCAGUGCCAAGUGCCAACUCAGAAGAUAAAUAAGGAUUUUGAGCUAGUUUACAAAGGAAUUUUAGAAAGGUUAGGACACACCAAACAAGACAACACGAUCAAGGACACAAUAUGUCACUGACAACAGCAACACCACAGGGGCAACCCUGGAGGCCCUCACAAACAAAUAUAUAAAGGCCUUCCAACCCCUAAUCCAGGUAACUAAAACUCUCUCCAGUCACUUAUAUUUUCUUUCCCUAAACCCCUAUCUUCUAAAUUUACCAUCAGAGUGGGCCAACGGAACAGCUCUGAUGCCCUCUUUAACUUUCUCCUAUCUUGCAGGAUCACCAGAUCAACCCCUGGAGAACAGCCCUCAUCAAUAAUGUAAAAUUUAAUUCCAGUGCCAACUCACCAGAUAGAUAAGGAUUUGGACCUAGUUUACAAAGGAAUUUCAGAAUGACAGUCAAAUAUUUAACUUUGGUUGUGCACAAGGGGCAAAAUAACAAUGAAAUGACUGGAAAAAGAUGCGCAUCAAUCCGGGUUCCCUAGGCCUUAAAGCUUUAGCUCUUUUUUCCCCCUUCAUUUGAUAAGUACGCUAAUGCUCUCAAUUAGUGAAUAUCUUAUUUGAAGAAAGUGGCACAGCUGCCAAAUGUUUUUCUGAACCUUACUAUUCUUUCUAAUUCAAAAACUUUGCAUCACUUCUAAUGUAGAAUGGGAAGAUGGACAUCCUAAUCCAAUUUAGGGAUUAUAUUCCACAUAAAAUUAGGAAGUUUAGUAUUUCUAUUAUGUAGGAAAUCUAUUAGUAUUAUUAUUAUUUUAGGAAAUAUUUUAUUUUAUUUUGGAAGUUUAAUUACGGUUUGUUUUGUGAUUCCUAAAUAGAAUUGGGUUUAGGGUUCCUAAUCCUAAUGUU
rnacentral:misc_RNA from 1 species